GCCCUACGGGGGAAAGCAGGGGAUCUUCGGACCUUGCGCUAUUAGAUGAGCCUGCGUGAGAUUAGCUGGUUGGUGGGGUAAUGGCCUACCAAGGCGACGAUCUCUAGCUGGUCUGAGAGGAUGAUCAGCCACACUGGGACUGAGACACGGCCCAGACUCCUACGGGAGGCAGCAGUGGGGAAUAUUGCACAAUGGGCGGAAGCCUGAUGCAGCCAUGCCGCGUGUGUGAAGAAGGCUCUAGGGUUGUAAAGCACUNUCAGAAGGGAGGAA
rnacentral:ncRNA from 1 species